GUGCUCGUUUCAGCAGCAAAUAUACUAAAACUGGAACGACACAAAGAAUUAGCAUGGCUCCUACACAAGGAUGACACACAAAUUCGUGAAGCAUUCUUUUUUUAA